CUGCGAGGCUGUCUUCACAUUUGGAAUCAACGAUGAUGUCUCCUUCAAAAUUUCUUCCUGGGUAUCGAAAUGAAUUGCAACAACGUUGAUACGCGUUAUGGAUUAUCUGGAUUCAAAGAGCCUGCCAAUAAAUUUUGAAAACAUUGUGCGGUAUCUGAACAGAUGAAUUCAAUGUAGAAAAAUAACAGGUCGAGAGCAAAAACGCUAAGCCUGCACUCUACCACUACACCGUUGACUAUUGAUAGACGUAAGAAGACGACUCAGUCUAUUCCGUUAGACAAGGUCAUGGAGGAAGAACUCAAACAGUUACGAUUGGAGAAGGAGAAAUUGGAACAACUGAAAGAUGAUCUUAAAAAACAGCAGGACGAUCUCCAUUCUCGUAGUGAGUUGGCAAAACAAGUCAGCUUGUUGCAAAAAGAAAAAGAAAGUCAAGCGCGAGUUUUAAAUGAGCUACGCAGAGGUUCAUCAAGUCAACAGAAACAGACUACAUUGCAGCGCUAUUGACCGCAUCUAGCAAUGAUGGGGGUGAAAUCACCAGAUCAAUCAAUCUCUGAGAACAAAGUAGAAACCAAAUCAAUCACUACGCCGAGUAAAAGUGAGUGUGUAAAAAGUGUGUUGCUUCACCGUUUAACCUGAUCGUAAGAUGCUAGGAGAGCUACUACGUGGAAAGUGUGGAGCAUCCCGGAGGAGAGCUAAGCAGAGACAUCCGAGUAACUUCUCCAUUACUUGGCGACGCUGGUGAGUUUGCAUGAGUUAGGUUACGGGUGUAUUUCCCUGGGACUUCUCUGUCAUGUGGCGUGGCGGUAACAAUUGUUACACGAAUCUUUGAUUUUUUAGCUCUAGAGAUAGACUCAUUCGCAAUCGCAACGAUGCUUGACUUUCAAUCGAGUCAUUUUUUGCCAUUAAUUUUCCCAUAGCUUAGAUGAAGUUAGAUAUUU
rnacentral:lncRNA from 1 species